UUGCGACCAUAUCCCGUUGAAACACCAGUUCUUGUAAAAUCACCAAAGUUAAGCAACGAUGAACCUGGACAGUACCUAGAUGGGUAAGCAUUUGGAAAUACUAGGUGCUGUAA